GCACUUAUUGACCUUGUACGCCCGUCGCCCACGAGCGAUUGUUUCUCGUGAUCACGUGUCUUUGUAUCAAUACAAAAUGGCGGAUCGGUGGGACUUUCGUUCGUUCGGGGCGGGCGGAUUAACUUCCGGUCAUGAU
rnacentral:precursor_RNA from 8 species